UUAUUAAACAAGGUCUAAAAUGGC
rnacentral:siRNA from 1 species